AAAAGAAUACCACUUAGGUAAUACAAGCUUGACAAGCUUAAGUUAUAUUUUAACUAAUUCUUU
rnacentral:tRNA from 1 species